AAACAUUUUAUUUUCCUUCUUCCCCAGCCAAUCAUAGGUGGUAUUUACCGGGUCUUUGAACUACUCAAAAUUUCCACUACCGGUUCUCCAGAACCUGUCUCAACUGGCUGAAACCACC